AGCUCUGAUCUCUUGGAAAUUCAGGACACAAACAACAACUCAGGCUCAGUCCUGUGAACAUAUCCCACUGAUUCUUAAUGCAUUAAAUAAUCACAGUUUAAUCUGCCUGUCUGAUUUUGGCUAUUCAUGUCAGGGAACAGAUUUGUUUUAAACGAUGUCUUGCAGCUAUUUUCUUUUUGACUGUUCAGUUUAUUCAGACUAAAGCAGUUUUCACAUAGUGAAAGCCUCACAUAGGAAUCCUUAACUAUGCAAAAAGAAUACAAAGGGUAACAACAUCAAAAUGUACUGCAUCUCACCCACUUCUUCAAAAUGCAAAACAACAGAGACCCUCUUGAGCUGGUAUUUGUCUAGCUGAGCUCCUUCUAAGACCCUCUCAGAGAAGCGGUGCCAUUAACCUGUCACAGGAAAAGAGAAAAACAAAGCUGGAGGGACAUUGUUGAUUGGAGGUACAACAAAAUUGGUCCCAGCAGCAUCAAGGAGUGGGAUUUAUUCACGGGAGGUGUUCAGUGGUAACGUGUGGAUGCAGAAGUGGAACCAUGCCAUUUGUCUGGCUGUCACAAAAUAAACACACAGCGAAUAAAGGCCAACCUGAGCAUGUCUGGGGCAGAGCUGGCAAGAGCAUAAUUCCAUUUUGUGGCGCCAGAAUGGAUUUUUUUCCAGACCGGGAGAAAGCAGAAUUUCUGACCAAUUUUUGCAGACUUGGAAAGUGAGUUUGAAUAGUGAUUGAGAUCUCUAAACUGCAAAGUAACACUUUGCCUCAUUUACAACAGAUUUGGUUUUUUCUUCUUUUUCUCAGAUCACUCUAAGUCAGGCAGAACAAACAUCUUACAGGACAGGAUUUUUGCCUUUCAAUGUAGACUUUAUGACUGUCAGGAAAUAUUCUUAUUAAAUGAAACAGAAAAUAGAGAAAAAAGCUCUAUUUGGAAAUUGAAAAGUACUUUUCUGGGAUUGAGCAACACCAUGUGAGAUGUCAAUUUUUCAAGCCAGCUCAUUUUAUGAGUUUCAGGGGUGGCAGACAAAAAUAGUUAAAUUACUAAAGUCAAAUUUUAAAUUGAAAAAAAACCCAAACAUAACAAAAACUUAGAAUUUAAAUUUGGUUAAAAUUGCAUUUGAAAUUAAAAUGCAAUGCCUGUAGUUUAUGUAAGUAAAAUAGAAUAAUAUGAUAAAAUAAACAAAAAAGCAAUGCAUAUUUUCCACCUAAGUUUAAGAUAACGUUGCUGAAACUGGGGAGAGUUCUUGGCAAAAUGACUAGGGCCAGAAUUUUCUGAAUUAGUAAAAUAGAUUUCUAUGGCCCUAACUUUUCACAGGAUGCUUUUUUCAUUUUACUGUGUUUCAGUACAGUUUCCUCCAAACAGUGACUAAGCAGUAACUAACAAGCAGAAAUGCUUGCUUGAUUCUUUACAUGUGGGCUUACAAACAAAGUUUUAUGUUACUGCUCUUAUAAAUUAGAAUAGCCCCUGUGCCAUCCAAAGCAAAUCACAAGUGAAAUACUGAUAACUCAGCAAAUAAAAAAUGCCAUUUUUUCUAAAAUAAUAAAGUACUAUCAAUGGGAAUCUGAGUUAUAUACACUAUAGGUAUAUGAACAUUCCUUAUAUUCAAUCUUCCAGACUAACAGACAAUAAGUAAAAGUGAAAUGUAAGUUUACACAAAAGUUAUUUGUGUUCUUGUCAGUGGUUCUUCAUUGAUGCAGUUCAAUUCUGGUUUCAAAAGCAGGUACAAAGUGCAUAUUCAACAGGUUUAAAACCUGGUAUUUACAUUGAAGUGAUUUGCCUUACUGAAUUAAAUCCAAAUGUUCAGAUAUCAAUAUCUGAUACUUUCAGAUAUCAAUAUUGGUAUCAAAUUUUGCCGUGAUGGGUGAGGAGCUGAGUGUGGAGCUGGACAGUGUGGUGUUUACAUGUCUGGCUUUGACUGCUGUUGUGGUCCAGGUUUAUGCAGUGGGAAAAUGUAGAGAGUAAGUGAAGGGUUUAAUUUUGUAGACUGGGAAACUGCAGUUAUUAUUCUUUUUCUGGAGGAGUUGCUUUCUUGAAGUAUGACAGCUUUCCUGUUGCUUACCUGAUAGAGGAGAGGAGGAGCCAAGCAAUGAGCAUGGCCAAGAUGUGGAGAAGGCAUGCGCUCCUAAAAGGCUUCACAGGCUCCUUCUGGUUCUGAUGGUAAUCAAGAGAAAUGGUAGCUAGAAUCUGGCAGAGGAAAGGGGUGCAAAACCAUUUUCCUGCCUUUCUCACCCAGCAAAGCAAAUUGGAAAGAAGGGGUCUAUUCAUCUUGUUUUGGAAAUUUGCAAUAUGUGCUUUUAGACAUAGAUACGACCUAUGUAUUCACUCAUGACUAAAGAUAAAUAUCCUCUUAACCGUACAUUUAUAUUCUGUUAAGUGGCUGUGGCAUCAAGGAUUUCUAACUUUCCUGCCCUUCUGUUUCUCUGAGAUCAAGUUGACUUCUUUCAUUCAGACAUCUGCCUCUCUUAACCCCAUCUGCCAAGUACUUCCCUCCUGGCCUGUCACUGCUUGACAUCACCCCAUGGUUGUGCCCAGCUGUGCCUUCCCCUGUGGCUAACAUGGGCCAGCUGUCACAGACUCUUUUCCAUCCUAACACCCAGCAGCCAGCAGAGAACUUGGGAGAUGAAGAAAAGGUUUGCAUUCUCAGUCAGUCAGGUCAAGGCCAGGACAUGUUUGGGUGCUCUCCUCUGAACACUUGUUUAGUGAAGGAGCAUUUCUUGUGCCAAAGCUGCACUGAAGGGAAGGACAGAAAGCAAAUCCUGUGGGACCUGUGAGAAAAAGAUUUCCUCUGUAGAUUUGGGCUGGCUGGAGCUAUGCAAUACCUUCUAAAUGGCUUAUAAUGUUAGAUUUGGUAGAUGUAGGAGUGGUGCUGGCUUACCUGUAGUUCCUCAUAGUUGUGGUUUUGUGUUGGGUUAAGUAAGGAAGCCUCAGCUACAAUUAUUUUGUGUGGGAGGAGUCCCUGGUUUUGAAGCAAGACUCAGUGUGGGGGCUCACAUUAGGAUCUUCGGGAUGUUCACUUAUGAGCACACUUUUCCUGAGGAAUGGAAUUAGGACAGGAAACCUGAAGAAUUACCUAAAUACUAUAAACUUCUUAUGUAGUGUGGUACUCAGGUGAAUUUCUGUGAAAAAGUUGUUUCUGAAAAUUGAAGUCCUAAAAAUGUUAAAAUUUUCCUAAAUGUCAAAGCUGUUUUGCGUAAAACAAGCAUAUGUAACAUUUGUAAAACAAAGGGAAAAAAUAGAAGAAUCAACAUCUAUAAUAUUAUUUGAAAUACAAAUCUGCCACUGAUUUCACUCCCUGAGUGCAGCAGUUCACUGUGCAUUCCAAGAAGGUUCAGCCAGAACAAGGAUUAAAUUCAUUAUCUUUAUUAAUGCUUAUUUUGUUAUACAGAAGCAAGGGAGGAGGAAAGGGCAGAAUGGAUGCUCCUUCUUUGUGUGGGAAAAAGGCCAUCUGAAAAUUAGCUCUGCUUCCAAGCUGGGAGCAGGCUCUUCUCCCCAGGGAAGUGUUCCUCCAUCUGCAUUGCUACUCUGAAUCAGCAGGGCUUCAGAGAAACUGGAAGAGCAUGUGGCUGGGGAGAGAGUAGAAGAACAAGAAGCAACUUGAUGGUGCCUUAGGGACAAUGCAAUAUUCAGCAGCAAAGACCAGAAGGGAACUAAUCUCCCCUUGAAGAAGGUUUUAUGUCUGAUACUAUCAGCAUGCCACUAGAAAUGAUGAUCAAGAGCACUUCCAAAGCUAGGGAAACCUAGAUGGUGCUAAGUUACUUGGGAGAAGAGAUGUGUGUAAUGUUACUUAAACCUCCUCACCUCCUGAGCUGUACUAUUUCAGCCUUAGGCAAUGUCAGAAUUUAGGUAUGGUAGCCAUGUUUCCUGCCUGCUGAAUUAAUUUGAGUUCACUGUAUCAACCUCAUUGGGAAUGCAGCCCAUGGACUGAACCUCCUUCCUCAGAGACACGGUCAUGGUUCAUCUUGACCCUGGCUGGCUGUAAAGGUGACAUCUCAAAGCUCCAUGCAAAACAAGAACAUCAUGGAUUGGAAAACUCAAUUUUUUGCACUUGUCACAUGAAAAGAAAGUUUUUCUUGCAGUCCAGCAUGCUUCCCCUGCAAUGUGUAAGUCUGAAAUUGUUUAUCCUAUUUCAGGUUAUAUGCAAAUCCAGGAAACAUCCUGGGUUUGGAAUAGCAAUUGCUAGUGUUAGGUGCUGUGGGCACCACGUUCUACUCUGACACUUCAAACAGGUAAUACCUGUAUAUUUUACAACUGGAUUAAACCUCUUUGUUGAAUGGAAACAACCUAGGAAUGCUAGUAGAACAGAAUAGUCUGGUUUAAUCCACUGAAUUAGGUUUAUUUUUACCAGAUUAUUUUUAAACUUGUGAAUCCAGUUUCUUUUGAAUAUAGAUGGCAUAUCCUCCAAACAUCAUUCAUGUCUUAAACUGGCAUACUGCCUCAUCUUGCUGGCAUCAUUUUGCUUGUUAUCAUUGUCUUACAAUAAAAUUCAGAGUCUAUUGACUCAGUUUGUGCAAGUUCCUUUGUAAUUGCUGUAGCAAUAUGUAAGUUCAAGUUGGACUGACUUUUAGUAUCCCUCUUUGUUUAUUGAAGCACAAAGUUAAAGUUUGCAGAAGGGAAUGGGAGAUGAAACAAGACCAACAAAACACAUGAAACAUUCAGUGCUAGAACAUACAGGGUUUCUAAAUCAAAAGGAAAAGUGCUGCAAAAUGCUGUACUGAGCUGAUAUUACCAUCAGAAUACCUUCCUCUUCUGUUGGUUGUGCCCUAUAGCUCUCUGUUAGUGUCAGUAGAGCAAGUCCCCUGAUAUGGUCACUUGUUUGUUAAAUGAGCUGUCCAAGAGUGGGCAGGGAUAAAAUAGUGCCAGUGGAACUGUGACUCAGCCUUUGAGAAACUAUGGUCAAUGCCUUUUUGAGACUGAUGGAGUGGAUGCUUCUGAAUAUGAGCUACUGAAUGUCCUGGCUGGCCUUGCACACCAAAGGGCUUGAAAAGAACUGAGCAUGAGUGAGGAAAGGGCUCAGUGAACUAAGUAAAAGAUGAGUUUUGCAGGUGGAUUUAGGAUUUUGACAGAGAGAAAAACAUCUGUGGAGAAAGCUGGUGAAAGCAGUCCUUAGAGGAUAUCUCAGAGCAGAUAAGAUGAAUCUCAGAGAAGAAUCUCUAGAUUCUCAAAAGGGGAAUCUAGAGCUGGGUUUGGAAGAGAAGAGGGAGCCUGAGAGAGGGAAAGUAUGGGUGACAUGGUUGGGUAGGAGAGUGAAAUAUUGUGUGGAGAGCAGGGAUGAGUGGUGUUCCUCAGAGGCCAAACAUUGGGACUGUAUAACACCUUUGUCAGUGACAUGUACAGCGGGAUCAAGCACACCUUCAGCAAGUUUGCUGAUGACACUGAGCUGUGUGCUGCAGUCAACACACUGGAGGGAGGGAAUAAUGCCAUCCAGAGGGACCUGGACCUGAGAAAUGGACCUGUGUGAACUUCGUGAACUACAGGGCCAAGUGCUAGAUCCUACACCUGGCUUGGGCAAUCCCAAGCACAAAUAGGCUGGGCAGAAAAUGAAUUGAGAGCAGCCCUGGGAGAAGGAGAUGGGGGAGUUGGUUGACAAAAAGCUGGACAUGACCCAAUGUGCACUUGCAGCCCAGCUGCAGAAAUCCAGCUUUGUCCUGGGCUGCAUCCAAAGCAGCAUGGCCAGGGAGGUUAUUUUGUUCUUUUACUCUUGUGAAAGGAACCCCACUCUGAAUGCUGCAUCCACCUCUAGGUCCCACAAUGUGAGAAGGACAUGGACCUGCUGGAGCACAUCCAAAGUAGGGCCACAAAACUCAGAGGGCUGGAAUCUCUCUCCUCUGAGCACAGGCUGACAGAGCUGGGGUUGUUCAGCCUGAAGAAGAGAAGGGUCUGAGGAGGCCUUGGAGCAGCCUUCCUGUGCCUAAAGGGAGCUGAAAGAUAGAUGGAGAGAGACUUUUUACAAGGGCCUGUACUGGCAGGACAAGGGGCAGCGGCUUUAGAUGAGACAUAAGGAAGAAAUUAUUUUCUGUGAGGGGGGUGAAUCACUGGAACAGGCUGCAGAGAGAAGCUGUAGAUACCCAGGAAUUGUUCAAGGCCAGGCUGGGUGGGUCCUUGAGUGACCUCAUCUAAUGGAAGAUGUCCCUGCCUGUGGUGAUCAUUGUGAUCCCUCCCAGUCCAAAUUGUUCUGUGAUUUUACCCAGGAAAUAGAAGAAACAAAUAAUUUUAAGAUGGAAAAACUGAAGUUGGAAUGAUUUGCAUAAAAAUAGCAGUCAGUUAAAAAUGGGAAAGAAUAUGUGUUUUGGUGGGAAUUGGGAAAAAGCAAAUCUGUCAUCCUCAAAAGAAGAAACUUUUACAGGGAAAGGAAGAGAGAGUCUUGUGGGAAGAAUAGGAAAUAUAAUGGGCUUGGAAGUAUUGAUGAGAGAUGGAGUUUUAGGGAAUUAAAACAGGGAAAGGAGGAAGGGGCUUUCAUCUCAGAGGCAAAAUGGGCUUGCAGAAUACAAGGACUAGAUAUAAAUGUUGCAGCAGAGACAGGAUCAUCCAGGGAGCAGAAAGGUGCGAAGACAUAAAAUGAAGAGCAAAGUAGCAGAGUUCAGAGGAGGAUGAGUUUUUAGGGGAGAGAACAGGAUACACUCCUUUUAAUAGGACUUCUGUUCUCUUCCAGCAUCCUAAUGAUACCUGUUUUCUUGUUAUCUUCAUUGUUUAUCCAUGUUUCUGUUUUUGCUAUUUGCUCCAUCCAUCCAUCCAUCCAUCCAUCCAUCCAUCCAUCCAUCCAUCCAUCCUCACUCAUGAGAAAGAAGUUCAGAAAGUACCUUCCCUGUGUAAUGUUGCCCUCAGGUAGAAUUCAGCAGAUAUUUUGACUUCUGGUAAGUUGUGGAUGAAGUACUCUGUUUUCCUAUUGGCCGUAGUGUUUUGUUUACUUCCUGGGAAAUGUCUCUUUCUCUUCCCUUGAGACAGGUGCUUCUCUUCCAAACAACACUGGAUUCUUGAUUUUUUUUCCCCCAGCAUCUCUUUACAACAUUUACAAAGAGCCAGAAGUCCUUCUCUGUUGGGGGAAGCCUCAUCAGUCACUAGCAAGUUCAAUAAAAAGAGACCACUUGUGUACAAUGAUCAAUAGAUCUGAAUGGAAUUGUAGUAAGUGAGAGGAAACUGUGUAUCAUGAAAGAAGGGGGAAAGGCUGGAGAAAACCACUGAGUGAGAAUGCCACUUACACUGGAAAACCCUCCUACAUCUUUUGCUAGAAAAACCUUGGUAAUGCAAAGUUAUCAUAACUGACCAAAGUUAAUGGGACCUACUCUGGUGCUGAAAGGGUUAGACAUGACUAUUGUUGACGUAGGAAUGGAUUUUGCAAGAGUUUGUAAAGUUAGCAGGAUACAAGGAGGUCAAGACUGAUGAUACCAGAGGGACACAUACUGUGCUAUUUGCAUCCAGUUUUCAAACUGGCCUCUUAAUGAUCUCGAAAAUAUGAACUAGAGAUAUUGGGAACAGGAGGUAAGAGAUGUGGGAGACUAGGUCUUCUGGAAAGAUGCGUGGGUAAGUAUUCGGCAGCACCAGGCAUUGAAUCCUUCUGAAAAUUUAUUAUGUAAAUGAAUCAGAAGGAUUUGAAAGAGGUUUGGAAUUCCCUACAUCUUUUGCAUAUGCAUGUGCCCAUGUGUAUGUUUGAGUGUGGAUUGGCAGUUUGGGGCUUUUUUUGGUUGGGUUUUUUUUUUGUUUUGUUUUGGGAGGUUUUUGGUUUGUUUUUUUUUUUGUUAGUUUGUUUUUUGUUUUGUUUUGUUUUUUUUUUUAAAUAGAACAUUGACAAGAAAAGACCACAGCUUCAGUUGUUCAUGGUUUGACAGAUGCUAACUAUGGCUAUAGCAGAGCAAAAGGAGGCCUUAGAAGUGGAUUUGAAAUGUUCACCAUAAAGAUAAAGAGAUAAAGGUGAAAAUCAGAAACUCAAGCCAAAGAUCACAGAAAUGAAAGCUGAUACAUGAUACAGCUUCUGAUAUCCUGGCAGGAACAGCUGAGAAACACUGUAACUUAUCAAAGAAGGAGGGAAAAGCCUCAGCAGCCUCAGUAUCCUUUCUUACAGCAAGAUUUUUUUUUCAAGAUGAAGUAGUUCCAGUAAUGUUUGAAGCUUAUGAAGAAGAAAAUCAGCCCAUCCUACUGCAGCUCUUAAGUUCAUCCACCAGCUGAGCCAGAAAAGUAUUAGAGGCUUUGAUCUACUUCCAGUCUGCUGCAAGCAUGACAGAAGAGCACCUUCCUUCAUCAAUGCCUUGAAGCAACAGCAACUUGAUGUGGAAGUUUUCUUCCAGAUGACAAAUGUUGACUGAAUAGAGCAGGGGGAUUUAGCAAUGGAAUAUUUUUUAAGUAACUUGGAGCAUCAGAACAUGUUUAAUAAUAUGCAGUUUUGCAGGUUAUGUAUAAUGUGAAAAUCUGACAAAUUUCAAGUUUCCAUGACAGCUUUGUCAUAGAAACUGUACACUUUCAUAUGGAAAUGGUGACAGAAGUGAUGUGUGAGUUUUAAGUAAUCAGUAGAAAAGAUGGCACUAGGGACAGGGAGACAAUUUGGCAACCAAAAGGGAAAAUGUUACGAAAUGGAGGGAAAGAGAGGACAGGGUUACAGAAAACACUGCUGGAGAGCAUUUGGAGAGAAAUUUACAUAGAGAGGCAUCAUCAGCCUUGGGUCUCCUCCAUGCUGUCUGUCUCACGUGUUCCAAGGGGAAAGAGUGCCUCAAGAUAACCUCUUUGCUCCUCUGGGAGAGGCAGAAGCUGCUUUGUGACUCCUUGGUGGUUCACCAUUAAUGGGAGAAACAUGAAAAAACAUGACCUGGUCAGUCAAAAGUCUGACCAAAGAUCAGUAAUUCCUGCUAGUUUGUACACUAGCAGCUACCAGUGAAGGAACCAAGGCAAAUGUAACAAUUCAGGGUAUGUUUUCUACCCUGGCAACAUGGACUUGCUUCUUUUCCUGGGUUUAUGGCUCUGAGAAAUAAAUUUCAGGCCACUCUUGAUUUCUAUUUAAUGCUAUUUGUGUGAAGACUGUCUCUGGAGUCUUGUAUUAGUUUAACAGAUGGAGCCAGGGCAGAGAUUCAUACUGUGAUGCUUAUUUAUUAAUACAGCUUUUCCUGAGACAGGGAAAAAAUAUGUUUUUGUAGGAAACCUUUUCUCCUUUUCCUGGAAUGGAAAAAGAAUGACAUCUGGACCUCUCCUAUUCAGCUUGGGAUACAUAUUUUCCCCAGAUAUGUAUUUCUGAAUCUCAUGAAGAUCUGGUUGCUUAGAAGUAGCUCCAGUAGCCAGCUUCUUUUUCCCACAGAAAUCUAUUUGAA